rnacentral:rRNA from 1 species
UACAGAGGUCUCAAGCGUUGUUCGGAUUCAUUGGGCGUAAAGGGUGCGUAGGCGGCGCGGUAAGUCGGGUGUGAAAUCUCGGGAGCUUAACUCCGAAACUGCAUUCGAUACUGCCGUGCUUGAGGCCGGGAGAGGUGAGUGGAAUUCCCAGUGUAGCGGUGAAAUGCGUAGAUAUUGGGAGGAACACCAGUGGCGAAGGCGGCUCACUGGACCGGUUCUGACGCUGAGGCGCGAAAGCGUGGGGAGCAAACGGG